rnacentral:lncRNA from 1 species
UUUUAUCUACUUAGGAAAUAUUAAAAUUUCUGCCUACACCAUCACUAUUUGAAACACAUGCCAUUGCCUUCUCAUUAUCAUUGUCGCUAACGAGAACAACAACUGAUCAAAAGAUAUAUCCUGUCAGCUACUGUAUCCAAGUUCAUCUCGAGUAAUAGUACCACGAGGAUAAUCACCAAAGACACCAGACAUCUUUAUGAUGCCAGUG